ensembl:lncRNA
GGGGCGUGGGGAUGGGGCGGGGCAACUGUCCAGACUUCUCCAGGUAAAGAGGCUCCUCUCCGCUUACUGGCAAGUCGCGGUAAGAGUGCAGGUGUGAGCAGUUAGCAGCUAAUAGAGCAGGUUGGGUUUUAGAAACACCGUUCUGAGAUUUGCCUAGAAGAGGAAUUGCCAAGGAUAUGCACAGCAUCUACAUUGGAAGAUACUACCUGGCUUUGCAAAACAGUUUUUACUGAUUUAUUUUUCUGCCAGCUGGUGAAAUCCCCACAAGGUGUAAGAAGUUAACUGUAUGCUGCCCACAAGCCCCAGGCCAGGUGGGUCCAGGUUGAUGAUGCCAACUCCACAUUGUCCCGCUCCUUGGUCGGCCUUUGCAAUAAACUUGCACUUUCCUUCACCACAGAGUGGUGUCAGUAGCUCGGCUUUACUGAGCAGGACCCCUCCUAGAGCUGAAGGAUUUAUAUUGACUGUCCAGACUGAAGUAGAAAAGAAGAAUUCAGCAGUGUGACUGCAAUGAUCACCUCAUUUCAGAUUUCUCUUCCCCUCUUGUUACUCACAAACCCUAUCACUCAGCACCCUUCAUAUGUACGAGAACCUUCAGCAUGAUGAUUCUGUCCAUUUUUUUUCUUCAUUAAAUGCUGUUU